CCUACGGGUGGCUGCAGUGGGGAAUAUUGGACAAUGGGGGGAACCCUGAUCCAGCCAUGCCGCGUGUGUGAAGAAGGCCCUCGGGUUGUAAAGCACUUUCAGUGAGGAAGAACGCCUGGUGGUUAAUACCCAUCAGGAAAGACAUCACUCACAGAAGAAGCACCGGCUAACUCCGUGCCAGCAGCCGCGGUAAUACGGAGGGUGCGAGCGUUAAUCGGAAUUACUGGGCGUAAAGCGCGCGUAGGUGGCUUGAUAAGCCGGUUGUGAAAGCCCCGGGCUCAACCUGGGAACGGCAUCCGGAACUGUCAAGCUAGAGUGCAGGAGAGGAAGGUAGAAUUCCCGGUGUAGCGGUGAAAUGCGUAGAGAUCGGGAGGAAUACCAGUGGCGAAGGCGGCCUUCUGGACUGACACUGACACUGAGGUGCGAACGCGUGGGUAGCAAACAGGAUUAGAUACCCUUGUAGUC
rnacentral:rRNA from 1 species